CCCCAAAUCCCCCCUUUUUGGCCCCAAAUUCCCCCUUUUUGGCCCCAAAUUCCCCCUUCUUAGCCCCAAAUUCCCCCCUUUUAGCCCCAAAUCCCCCCUUUUUGGCCCCAAAUUUGGGUCCCCGCAGGCGUUUUUCCCUGAGAUUUUUGGGCUCCCGGAGCCCUUUUGGUUCAAAGAGGCACUGAAGGGUCGCGACGUCCAAUGGGGCCGAGGGGAAACCUCGGGGCUGACCCCAAAAAAUAGGGGGGGGUCUUUGGGGACGGACCCCAAAUCGGGGGUCUUCCACGUGGGCCCCACAUCGGGGGAGCUUUGGGGCCAACUCCAAUCGGGAGAUGUUUGGGGGCUGACCCCAAAUUGGGGUGUCUUUGGGGCUGACCCCAUUUAGGGGAUCUUCAGGGCUUGACCCCAAACUGAGACCUUAUGGGGCUGACCCUAAAUUGGGGGACCUUUUGGGGGUGGGGUCCCAAAAUGGGGGAUCUUUGGAGUUGACCCCCAUUGGGGCUCUUUGGGGCCGCUGCAUUUUGGGCUGAAAAAUGGAGAAUUUGGGGCCAAAGGGAGGCGAUGAAAGCGCUGAGCUCAGCAGUCCGGGAGGGACCCUAAAAGCCAACGGGGUUAAUUAAUACUGUCUUAAUGAGCCCAUCUGGAAACGAGGCCUCGUUAACCCCCAACGCCCCAGGGUUGAGGCGCCCCGAAACCCCACUCAAAGUGAUGGAUUUUGGGGUUCUGCCCCCCAAAUCAGGGCUGGGAAAGGGGGGGGGGGGGGGUCGGAGCUGCAGAGGGUUUGGGGGGGGGGGGCGAAAGGAGCCCAAAUUGGGUGGAAAUUUGGGUGGAAAAUGGGAGGUUUUGAGCAAUUUUGGGGGGGGGGGGGUGGACUCCCAGUUUUGGCUGAAAGAAAUCCAAUGUGUGCCCCAAAAUGGGGGGGGUCCCCAAAAAGCAGCUCUUUCUGGGGGGGAGGGGGGGGAAAAAUAGGGGAAAUGGGGGGGGGAACAUUGAGGGGGGGGAGAAGGGCACCAAAUGCUUCCGGAUGUGAUUUCUGUCUUUUUUGGGGGGGGGAUUUGGGGGGGAAGAAAGGCAGAAGGGGCUCCGAGGUGGGCUCUGAGCGCCCCCAGAAUUGGAGAGGGAGGGGUGGGGGGGCCCCCCAUAACCCCCCCCCCAAAAUAAAGUCCUCAUUGGGGUCAGAGGGAGGCGGGGGGGGGCGAUGGGGACCCCAAUCUCUGCAGGCGGCGGCGGCGCAGUUCGGCUGUGUUGGGCUCUCCUUCCUCCUCCUCCUCCUCCUCCUCCUCACCGCCAUCCGCUGCGGGGUGGGAAAACGGAGCCCCCCCCCCUCGUUAGCCGAGCCCCAAUUAAAGCCGUCAGCCUAAUUAGGGGGGGUUAUUGGUGACGGGGAGGGGGGGUUUGACGCACCGGGGGGAGGCGAAGAGCUGCGCUGUGGGGGCGCUGCGGCGGCGGCGGUGGGGGGGUCCUGGGAGGGGGGGGGGCGGUGGGACGGGGGGAGCUGUGGGGGAAAAAAGGGGGGGGGCGAUAAAGAAUUGACCCCAAAGGCCUCCAAAAGCCCAAAUGUCAAGCUUGGAGCCUUUGGGGACACCAAAGGCUUCA
ensembl:lncRNA